rnacentral:rRNA from 1 species
AGCGAACGCUGGCGGCAGGCUUAACACAUGCAAGUCGAGCGGGCGUAGCAAUACGUCAGCGGCAGACGGGUGAGUAACGCGUGGGAACGUACCUUUUGGUUCGGAACAACACAGGGAAACUUGUGCUAAUACCGGAUAAGCCCUUACGGGGAAAGAUUUAUCGCCGAAAGAUCGGCCCGCGUCUGAUUAGCUAGUUGGUGUGGUAACGGCGCACCAAGGCGACGAUCAGUAGCNGGUCUGAGAGGAUGAUCAGCCACAUUGGGACUGAGACACGGCCCAAACUCCUACGGGAGGCAGCAGUGGGGAAUAUUGGACAAUGGGCGCAAGCCUGAUCCAGCCAUGCCGCGUGAGUGAUGAAGGCCCUAGGGUUGUAAAGCUCUUUUGUGCGGGAAGAUAAUGACGGUACCGCAAGAAUAAGCCCCGGCUAACUUCGUGCCAGCCGCCGCGGUAAC